CCGUUGUCUGUGGAGAUAGUGGUUACUCAUGGGAAACUGGAGUUAUCAAGGAGAUUCAUGCAGCCGCCUGAGGACUUGCCUGUCAGCAGCGAGAGCAGCUGAAGGAAGCAGGGGACACAGACUAACCCUGAGGAGGAAGUGGGCCACAGAGGAUGCUAGACUGUGGUACAAUGACAGCUGGAGAACAGAACACUGCAAAUGCCAUUCGAAAGAACCAGAAAACUGGCACGAGGAAAAGGUGA
rnacentral:lncRNA from 1 species